AGUUUGAUCCUGGUUCUCAAUGAACGCUAGCGGCAGGCUUAAUACAUGCAAGUCGAGGGGCAGCACAUGAGUAGCAAUACGAUGGUGGCGACCGGCGCACGGGUGCGUAACGCGUAUGCAAUCUACCUUUAACAGAGGGAUAGCCCCGAGAAAUCGGGAUUAAUACCUCAUAAAAUUUUCACAUGGCAUCAUGAGAGAAUCAAAGCUGAGGCGGUUAAAGAUGAGCAUGCGUGACAUUAGCUAGUUGGAGAGGUAACGGCUCACCAAGGCGACGAUGUCUAGGGGUUCUGAGAGGAUGAUCCCCCACACUGGUACUGAGACACGGACCAGACUCCUACGGGAGGCAGCAGUAAGGAAUAUUGGUCAAUGGGCGAGAGCCUGAACCAGCCAAGUCGCGUGAAGGAAGAAGGUUCUAUGGAUUGUAAACUUCUUUUGCAGGGGAAUAAAGGACGGUACGUGUACUGUUUUGUAUGUACCUUGCGAAUAAGGAUCGGCUAACUCCGUGCCAGCAGCCGCGGUAAUACGGAGGAUCCGAGCGUUAUCCGGAUUUAUUGGGUUUAAAGGGUGCGUAGGUGGAUUGUUAAGUCAGUGGUGAAAGUUUUCAGCUCAACUGAAAAAUUGCCGUUGAAACUGUCGAUCUUGAGUGCAAAUGAGGUAGGCGGAAUGUGUUGUGUAGCGGUGAAAUGCUUAGAUAUAACACAGAACUCCGAUUGCGAAGGCAGCUUACUGGGAUGCAACUGACACAUGAAUGCACGAAAGGAUCAACAGG
rnacentral:rRNA from 1 species